AUUGAACGCUGGCGGCAGGCCUAACACAUGCAAGUCGAGCGGUAGAGAGAAGCUUGCUUCUCUUGAGAGCGGCGGACGGGUGAGUAAUGCCUAGGAAUCUGCCUGGUAGUGGGGGAUAACGUUCGGAAACGAACGCUAAUACCGCAUACGUCCUACGGGAGAAAGCAGGGGACCUUCGGGCCUUGCGCUAUCAGAUGAGCCUAGGUCGGAUUAGCUAGUUGGUGAGGUAAUGGCUCACCAAGGCGACGAUCCGUAACUGGUCUGAGAGGAUGAUCAGUCACACUGGAACUGAGACACGGUCCAGACUCCUACGGGAGGCAGCAGUGGGGAAUAUUGGACAAUGGGCGAAAGCCUGAUCCAGCCAUGCCGCGUGUGUGAAGAAGGUCUUCGGAUUGUAAAGCACUUUAAGUUAGGGAGGAAGGGCAGUUACCUAAUACGUUGCUACUUUGACGUUACCGACAGAAUAAGCACCGGCUAACUUCGUGCCAG
rnacentral:rRNA from 1 species